UACGUAGGGUGCGAGCGUUAAUCGGAAUUACUGGGCGUAAAGCGUGCGCAGGCGGUUCGUUGUGUCGGUGGUGAAAUCCCCGGGCUUAACCUGGGAAUGGCCAUGGAAACUGGCGAACUGGAGUGCGGCAGAGGGGGGUGGAAUUCCGGGUGUAGUGGUGGAAUGCGUAGAGAUCCGGAGGAACACCAGCGGCGAAGGCGGCAUCCUGGACUGGUCCUGACACUCAGGAGCGAAAGCGUGGGGAGCGAUCCGG
rnacentral:rRNA from 1 species